AUUGAACGCUGGCGGCAGGCCUAACACAUGCAAGUCGAGCGGAUGAAGGGAGCUUGCUCCUGGAUUCAGCGGCGGACGGGUGAGUAAUGCCUAGGAAUCUGCCUGGUAGUGGGGGAUAACGUCCGGAAACGGGCGCUAAUACCGCAUACGUCCUGAGGGAGAAAGUGGGGGAUCUUCGGACCUCACGCUAUCAGAUGAGCCUAGGUCGGAUUAGCUAGUUGGUGGGGUAAAGGCCUACCAAGGCGACGAUCCGUAACUGGUCUGAGAGGAUGAUCAGUCACACUGGAACUGAGACACGGUCCAGACUCCUACGGGAGGCAGCAGUGGGGAAUAUUGGACAAUGGGCGAAAGCCUGAUCCAGCCAUGCCGCGUGUGUGAAGAGGGUCUUCGGAUUGUAAAGCACUUUAAGUUGGGAGGAAGGGCAGUAAGUUAAUACCUUGCUGUUUUGACGUUACCAACACAAUAAGCACCGGCUAACUUCGUG
rnacentral:rRNA from 1 species